CUGUUUUGCUGAUGGUGUAAACGUGUGCGGUUGCCGUGUCGGUCCGUGACGCGCUCCCUGGACUGACCUCCCCUCUUCACCGUGGCAGUUCCCGGGGCCGGGCUGUGUGAGGAGCCGGUGCCGCCGCCCUCGCAGCGCAUGGCCAAGUUUGAGCCAUCGGCCCCUUUGUGGCACGAACAAAGUCCGGGCUGUGGAUAACAAAACCCAGCACAUCUCGGCGCUGAAGGCGACAAACCCCGAGCUGCCCCCACACCACUGAGCUGGCCAUGGACCAAACUACAACAGCAAAGUGGAUCUGAUUUCCAGCAACAAAUAGAUCCUAAGGAAAUACU